CUGUUGGCCUCCCCGCUUUUGAGGCUUUUGGACUUGGACUGAGCCACUGCGGGCUUCCUUCUUCCUCGGCUUGCAGACGGCCUGCUGUGGAGCUUCACCUUCUGAUCAUAUCCAUAAUGAUUUUUAAAUCGAACACAAACACACUGGCAACUUA